rnacentral:rRNA from 1 species
UACGUAGGGGGCAAGCGUUGUCCGGAAUCAUUGGGCGUAAAGCGCGUGUAGGCGGCCCGGUAAGUCCGCUGUGAAAGUCGGGGGCUCAACCCUCGAAUGCCGGUGGAUACUGUCGGGCUAGAGUACGGAAGAGGCGAGUGGAAUUCCUGGUGUAGCGGUGAAAUGCGCAGAUAUCAGGAAGAACACCAAUGGCGAAGGCAGUUCUCUGGGACGGUACUGACGCUGAGACGCGAAAGCGUGGGGAGCGAACAGG